rnacentral:rRNA from 1 species
AACGAACGCUGGCGGCAUGCCUAACACAUGCAAGUCGAACGGACUGUAGCAAUACAGUCAGUGGCGAACGGGUGAAUAACGCGUGGGAACCUACCUCGGAGUUCGGAAUAACCGCGGGAAACUGCGGCUAAUACCGGAUACGGCCUGAGGGCGAAAGGAGCAAUUCGCUCCGGGAGGGGCCCGCGUCCGAUUAGCUAGUUGGUGGGGUAACGGCCUACCAAGGCGAUGAUCGGUAGCUGGUCUGAGAGGA